UACAGAGGCCUCGAGCGUUAGGCGGAAUCACUGGGCUUAAAGCGUGUGUAGGCGGAUUGGUAAGUACCUUGUGAAAUCCCACAGCUUAACUGUGGAACUGCUCGGUAUACUGCUGAUCUUGAGCCACUCAGGGGCUACCGGAACAAAUGGUGGAGCGGUGAAAUGCGUAGAUAUCAUUUGGAACGCCAAUGGUGAAAACAGGUAGCUGGGGGUGUACUGACACUGAGACACGAAAGCCAGGGGAGCAAACGGG
rnacentral:rRNA from 1 species